CCUACGGGAGGCAGCAGUGAGGAAUAUUGGUCAAUGGACGCAAGUCUGAACCAGCCAAGUAGCGUGCAGGAUGACGGCCCUCCGGGUUGUAAACUGCUUUUAGUUGGGAAUAAAAGGGGGCUCGUGAGCCCCGUAUUGUAUGUACCAUCAGAAAAAGGACCGGCUAAUUCCGUGCCAGCAGCCGCGGUAAUACGGAAGGUCCGGGCGUUAUCCGGAUUUAUUGGGUUUAAAGGGAGCGUAGGCCGGCUUUUAAGUCAGCUGUGAAAGCCUUCGGCUUAACCGAAGAAGUGCAUCGGAAACCGGGC
rnacentral:rRNA from 1 species